CGGUACAAUUGAGACAGGUGUGCAUGGUUGUCGUCAGCUCGUGUCGUGAGAUGUUGGGUUAAGUCCCGCAACGAGCGCAACCCUUGUGUUUAGUUGCAAACAGGUCAAGCUGUGCACUCUAGACAGACUGCCGUGGACAACACGGAGGAAGGUGGGGAUGACGUCAAAUCAUCAUGCCCCUUAUGAUCUGGGCUACACACGUGCUACAAUGGCCGGUACAACGGGCAGCGAAGGAGCGAUCCGGAGCGAAUCCUAAAAAGCCGGUCCCAGUUCGGAUUGCAGGCUGAAACUCGCCUACAUGAAGUUGGAGUUGCUAGUAAUCGCGAAUCAGAAUGUCGCGGUGAAUGCGUUCCCGGGUCUU
rnacentral:rRNA from 1 species